AUUGAACGCUGGCGGCAGGCCUAACACAUGCAAGUCGAGCGAGCGGCGGACGGGUGAGUAAUGUCUGGGAAACCGCCUGAUGGAGGGGGGUAACUAUUGGAAACGGUAGCCAAUACCGCAUACCAUCAGAUGUGCCCAGUGGGGAUUAGCUAGAAGGUGGGGUAACGGCUCACCUAGGCGACGAUCCCUAGCUGGCCUGAGAGGAUGACCAGCCACACUGGAACUGAGACACGGUCCAGACUCCUACGGGAGGCAGCAGUGGGGAAUAUUGCACAAUGGGCGCAAGCCUGAUGCAGCCAUGCCGCGUGUGUGAAGAAGGCCUUCGGGUUGUAAAGCACUGUCAGCGGGGAAGCGUUACCCGAAGAAGAAGCACCGGCUAACUCCGUGCCAGCAGCCGCGGUAAUAC
rnacentral:rRNA from 1 species